CUACGGGUGGCACCAGUGGGGAAUAUUGCACAAUGGGCGCAAGCCUGAUGCAGCCAUGCCGCGUGUAUGAAGAAGGCCUUCGGGUUGUAAAGUACUUUCAGCGGGGAGGAAGGGAGUAAAGUUAAUACCUUUGCUCAUUGACGUUACCCGCAGAAGAAGCACCGGCUAACUCCGUGCCAGCAGCCGCGGUAAUACGGAGGGUGCAAGCGUUAAUCGGAAUUACUGGGCGUAAAGCGCACGCAGGCGGUUUGUUAAGUCAGAUGUGAAAUCCCCGGGCUCAACCUGGGAACUGCAGCUGAUACUGGCAAGCUAGAGUCUCGUAGAGGGGGGUAGAAUUCCAGGUGUAGCGGUGAAAUGCGUAGAGAUCUGGAGGAAUACCGGUGGCGAAGGCGGCCCCCUGGACGAAGACUGACGCUCAGGUGCGAAAGCGUGGGGAGCAAACAGGAUUAGAUACCCCCGUAGUC
rnacentral:rRNA from 1 species